rnacentral:lncRNA from 1 species
CUCAAAAAGGGGGUGCUGACAAAAGAUUGAUCAGUAUGUUUGCAGCUCCUCAUGGUUUCACUGCCGAAGUAAGUCACUGUACGUUCACCUAUACUGUGUGUCUCCAUCGUUCAUCUUUACUGAGCAUCUCCUCCGUUCAUAUCCGCCGAGCAUCUUCAUCAUUCACUACACCAUGCAUCUCCAUCUUCAUCAUUCACUACACCAUGCAUCUCCAUCUUCCAUCAUUUUCUAUUGUUCUCUACAGGGAAGGAAGAAAGCAACGACUUCAUCCUUGUUCGAUACCAAUUGCUGUGUGAGUAAUUUUCAUCUAAAUCUGAACUUUUCUUGUUGAUUAGAGUGACUCUUCAACCAGAGGUAUUUAUUUUAACAAUGAAUUGUCGGGAAACAACUGUAAAAAUCUCUCUCUGUUAAACUAAUAAAGGAAGU